GAUGAACGCUGGCGGCGUGCCUAAUACAUGCAAGUCGAGCGAACAGACGAGGAGCUUGCUCCUCUGACGUUAGCGGCGGACGGGUGAGUAACACGUGGAUAACCUACCUAUAAGACUGGGAUAACUUCGGGAAACCGGAGCUAAUACCGGAUAAUAUAUUGAACCGCAUGGUUCAAUAGUGAAAGACGGUUUUGCUGUCACUUCUAGAUGGAUCCGCGCCGCAUUAGCUAGUUGGUAAGGUAACGGCUUACAAAGGCAACGAUGCGUAGCCGACCUGAGAGGGUGAUCGGCCACACUGGAACUGAGACACGGUCCAGACUCCUACGGGAGGCAGCAGUAGGGAAUCUUCCGCAAUGGGCGAAAGCCUGACGGAGCAACGCCGCGUGAGUGAUGAAGGUCUUCGGAUCGUAAAACUCUGUUAUUAGGGAAGAACAAAUGUGUAAGUAACUAUGCACGUCUUGACGGUACCUAAUCAGAAAGCCACGGCUAACUACGUG
rnacentral:rRNA from 1 species